GGAAAACCCACCCCGGCCCGACUCUUCCCCAACCUCCCUCUCCCCGCGUCUGAACCCCGCAACCGCCGCCACGCCCACUCCCCAAACCUCCCCGCUGCGACGCGCCCUCGCCGGACCUCCCCGCCGCCACGCGCCCUCCCAAGGAACCCCCACCGUCGCGCGCCAUCCCCACGCCCCGCCCACUACCUCGCGCCCCGCCUCCCCCUCCCCCUCCCCGCCUCCCUCCCCUGCCUUCUUCCCCGGCACCGUCUCGGGCCUCCGCGCGAAGCCGCUGCCGCAUCCCGAUCCACCUGCCGACGACGCCCACGCCCUCGCACCGCCUAGUCCCCGCUGCUGUGGACCACCCCUCACUAGACCCGCUGCGUGCCACCCCGAUGCCUGAACCGGACCCCGCGCCGCCCAGCGCCAGGAAUCGGCAUCGUCCCACUACAGCCGCUCCGCCGCGGCCCGGAUCCGGCCGGCACCGCCCGUGCACGACCUGGAUCUGGCGACGACUCCCCGCUCCUGCCCUGGGCUCUCUUUCUCCGUCGAUCCUCCACUCCCUGCGAGCAGACGGCCCUCCUCCCAGCGCUCCUCCUCCGACACCCCACCCAGCCCAACGCUCCACCGACGAUGCCCCCACCCCUCCUAGUGCUCAACCGGCGCCGCCCCUGUGAAGGACGGCCGUGGCAUUCCAGUCGAGCCACGCGGCUCUUCUUCAGCAUCAAGUUACAAGAGGAGCUCCUUCGUUCUCUUUGCUUAUCUUGAUUUUCUUGGGUCAUCCAGAUUUUACUCAUCGGCAGGUCAAGCAGAGUUCUCGUGGCAGGUCGAACAAAAGAUGCCCCUGGCGCCAUUUCUGCUAGUCGCCAUCCCCAGCUGCGGCACCUUCUGUUCCUGUUGUCACCACAAAAACAGAGCACACAAAAAGACGCGGGUGCUAGUCAUCGUCCACCUCCUCAAUCACCUCUGUGCUUCUUGAGAGUUAGUUGCUGCUUUCCAUGGCCAUAUCCACGCAAUUUGUUGUUUUGCCCAACCACUUAUAUAUGUGUGCAUGUUUCCAUUUUUGCCAAAUUGUAUUCUCGUGAGCUUUUGUUUUGAAAAAAAAUGUGCAUGUGAACAUGAGAAAAAAGUAUGUACAGAGAAGUUCAUGUAUUACUUCUCAUAAGGUUCACGUAUUACUAAGUGUGUGCACAUAUAAUUUCCCUCUCCA